rfam:Methanolinea sp. SDB scaffold-11908, whole genome shotgun sequence.
ACCCGGGGAAGUGAAACAUCUCAGUACCCGGAGGAACAGAAACCGAAAGGGAUUCUCUUAGUAGCGGCGAGCGAAAAGGGAACAGCCCAAACCUGGGAAGUGUUAAAGCCUGCCGGCGUUGCUUUUCAGGGGUCGUGGGAUAUUGACGGAGGAAACGGCAGUUUCUUCGGAAAGUUACAAACUUUACUGAUAGUCGAACGUACUGGAAAGUACGGCUAAAGAAGGUGAUAGCCCUGUAGACGAAAUCCGUAAAGCUUUCUGGUCAGUAUUCCCAAGUACUACGAGGCACGUGAAACCUUGUGGGAAUUUGCCCCGACCACGGGGUAAGGCUAAAUACUCAUAUCAGACCGAUAGCGCAUAGUACCGUGAGGGAACGCUGAAAAGAACCCCGGUGAGGGGAGUGAAAUAGAACCUGAAAUCAUAAGCCUACAAAGCGGUCGGAGUCCCGCUUCGGCGGGAUGACGGCGUACCUUUUGCAUAAUGGUCCAGGGAGUUACUGUUUAUCGCGAGUUUAAGCACGGUCUGUCGUGCGGAGGCGAAGGGAAACCGAGUCCUAACUGGGCGUUUUAGCGGUAAGUAGUAGACCCGAAGCGAGUCGAUCUACCCAUGGCCAGGGUGAAACCACUGUAAGAGGUGGUGAAGGCCCGAACCGUUGUACGUUGAAAAGUGCUCGGAUGAGCUGUGGGUCGGAGUGAAAGGCUAAUCAAGACUCGUGAUAGCUGGUUCUCCCCGAAAUAGUUUUAGGACUAGCCUCAGGUAAAUGGACUUGAGAGGUAGAGCACAGGAUGGGCUAGGGCUUCAAUAUGAGGUACCAACCCCAAUCUAACUCCGAAUGCUCAAGCACCUUAUCCUGGGAGUUAGACUGGCAGGGCUAAGCUUGUUGGUCGAGAGGGAAAGAGCCCAGACCGUCAGCUAAGGUCCCUAAGAGCAAGCUAAGUGGUAAAGGAUGUGAAGCCACAGAGACAGCCGGGAUGUUGGCUUAGAGGCAGCCAUCAUUUAAAGAGUUCGUAAUAGAUCACCGGUCGAGUGACUUCGCGCCGAAGAUGAUCGGGGCUCAAGCUUGCCACCGAAGCUACGGAUUCGUGCUUUCUUCGGAAAGCAUGUCUGGUAGGGGAGCAUCCUGUAUGCACUGAAGGUGUAUCGUAAGGUAUGCUGGAGCGUACAGAAGCGCGUAUCCUGGAAUGAGUAGCGAAAACUACGAUGAAAAAUCGUAGCGCCGAAAGCCUCAGGUUUCUCCGUCAAUGUUAGUCAGACGGAGGUUAGGCGGCCCCUAAGUCGUACCCGAACGGGGAAGACGAUGGGCAAGGGCGUUAAUAUUCGUCCCCCACCUGUAUGCGUUAACGUAAGAGAUGACGCAUGAAGUGCGGCAGUCGGACUGUUGGAUGUGUCCGUUCCCGGUGGAAACAUCGGGAGGAGCCCAAUCUACGGAGCGGGCGAACCUGCCAGGACUGAGUGCCAAGAAACAGUUUCUUGCGUUGUAUACGGGUGACCGUACCGCAAACCGACACAGGUAGGCUGCCAGAGUAUGGUAAGGCGCUCGAGAGAAACCUUGCUAAGGAACUCGGCAAAAUAACCCCGUACGUUUGCAAGAAGGGGUGCCUUGCGCAAGCAAGGCCGCAGAGAAAAGGCUCCUGUGACUGUUUAGCAAAAACACAGGUCCCUGCUUAACUCGUAAGAGGAUGUAUAGGGACUGAAACCUGCCCAGUGCCGGAAGGUUAAGGCAAGAGGUUAUCUUGAUUUAUCAGGAGAAGCUUCGAACCGAAGCCCCGGUGAACGGCGGCCGUAACUAUAACGGUCCUAAGGU